rnacentral:lncRNA from 1 species
GGUGUGGCCAGCACGUCUUGCCAAGACCCCACCACCCCACCCACCCGCAUCUGUGGCCUCCUGGAAGAACUGAGCUGUGGCCUGGGGUUCCGUGGAGCAGGUGGGGCGUGGAGGAACUGAGCUGUGGCCUGGGGUUCCGUGGAGUGGGUGGGGCGUGGAGGAACUGAGCUGUGGCCUGGGGUUCCGUGGAGCAGGCUGAGUGUGCCGGUCGUGGACGGGUCAUGGGCGGGACUCCCCAGUGUGUCACCACUGAGGCAUCUUCGCCCUCUUACGUGUCUCAGUUUCUCUCUCUAGAAGUCCAAUACCUCUGAGAGGACUCAAAACAGAGUGACCAGCUCCUACGUGCAUUUCCUGG